rnacentral:rRNA from 1 species
UACAGAGGGGGCAAGCGUUAUUCGGAAUUAUUUGGGCGUAAAAGGGCGCGUAGGCGGCCUGGCAAGUGGAAGGUGAAAUCCCUCGGCUUAACCGAGGAACUGCCUCCCAAACUGCUUGGCUUGAGACCGGGAGAGGUGAGUGGAAAUUCCCCAGUGUAGCGGGUGAAAAUGCGUAGAUAUUGGGGAGGAACACCAGUGGCGAAGGCGGCUCACUGGACCGGUACUGACGCUGAUGCGCGAAAAGCGUGGGGAGCAAACGGG